rnacentral:rRNA from 1 species
UAUCAAAGGUGAGCCAGUACAGGAUGGACCCGCGUCUGAUUAGCUAGUUGGUAAGGUAACGGCUUACCAAGGCGACGAUCAGUAGCCGACCUGAGAGGGUGAUCGGCCACAUUGGAACUGAGACACGGUCCAAACUCCUACGGGAGGCAGCAGGGGGGAAUAUUGCACAAUGGGCGAAAGCCUGAUGCAGCAACGCCGCGUGAGUGAUGAAGGCCUUCGGGUCGUAAAACUCUGUCCUCAAGGAAGAUAAUGACGGUACUUGAGGAGGAAGCCCCGGCUAACUACGUGCCAGCAGCCGCGGUAAUACGUAGGGGGCUAGCGUUAUCCGGAUUUACUGGGCGGAAAGGGUGCGUAGGCGGUCUUUCAAGUCAGGAGUGAAAGGCUACGGCUCAACCGUAGUAAGCUCUUGAAACUGGGAGACUUGAGUGCAGGAGAGGAGAGUGGAAUUCCUAGUGUAGCGGUGAAAUGCGUAGAUAUUAGGAGGAACACCAGUUGCGAAGGCGGCUCUCUGGACUGUAACUGACGCUGAGGCACGAAAGCGUGGGGAGCAAACAGGAUUAGAUCCCCUGGUAGUCCACGCUGUAAACGAUGAGUACUAGGUGUCGGGGGUUACCCCC